rnacentral:rRNA from 1 species
UAGUCUGGGAAACUGCCUGAUGGAGGGGGAUAACUACUGGAAACGGUAGCUAAUACCGCAUAAUGUCGCAAGACCAAAGUGGGGGACCGUUCGGGCCUCAUGCCAUCAGAUGUGCCCAGAUGGGAUUAGCUAGUAGGUGGGGUAAUGGCUCACCUAGGCGACGAUCCCUAGCUGGUCUGAGAGGAUGACCAGCCACACUGGAACUGAGACACGGUCCAG